UACAGAGGUCCCGAGCGUUGUUCGGAUUCACUGGGCGUAAAGGGUGCGUAGGUGGGUUGGUAAGUCAGUGGUGAAAUCCCCGAGCUUAACUUGGGAACUGCCAUUGAUACUAUCAGUCUUGAAUACCGUGGAGGUCGGCGGAAUAUGUCAUGUAGCGGUGAAAUGCUUAGAUAUGACAUAGAACACCAAUUGCGAAGGCAGCUGACUACGCGAGUAUUGACACUGAGGCACGAAAGCGUGGGGAUCAAACAGG
rnacentral:rRNA from 1 species